rfam:Triticum aestivum genome assembly, contig: Triticum_aestivum_CS42_TGACv1_scaffold_087486_1DS
CAAGUACUCCCUCCGUCCGCAAUUACUUGUCAUCAAAAUGGAUGUGUCUAGAACUAAAAUACAUCUAGAUACAUCCAUUUCAAUGACAAGUAUUUUCGGACGGAGGAGUACAAG